CAGGGAGAGUGCGUACUGCAUCCUUCCAUUCCUUGAUUUCCUGUGAAUCUCGAGCGACACAAAUCGCGUAAACGAUUUUUCCUGUUAUAUAGGAAUUGAAUUGCGUUUCAUGGGAUAAACGAGAAACGUGUGGUAUGGGAAGAUUCCUCAGUUUAAAGAGAAUGAAAAUCCAAAUGACAGACUGAAGAUGUUUAUGUAAAUAUAUUUUUAUAAAAAAUAGAUAGAUUAGGAUAUAUAUAUAAAAUUUUGAUUUAUUAUUAUGGAAUACCAAAAUAUUGUUGCAUUGUUUGUAAUAGGAGAAAGAAUAUUUCAAGUAUAUAUUUAUACGUAUGUACGUAUAUACUUCAAAUGUAAAGGAUUUAUUUUAUAAUCAAAUUGUUUAUUAAAAUUUUAAUAAAUUAUAAUAAACUAUAAUAAUUUUAAUUAAUAAA